UGCUUUACGGCUCACUUAAGAGCAGCCCAGGCGGAACAUAGAAAUUAGUUAAGUAGUAACUCCGAGUUAUUGGUAGGAAAGUGGAUUUUAACAGCAUGGUAGGAGGGUAGGCAGUCGCUUAGCUACUGUGCUGCCUAAGGCAUAUUAAAAUGCAAAGGCUGUGUGUGUGACUUUCGUCUGGGAGCACAAACCAUUUUAGAUGGGAAGGAACCCAAAUAGUUUUACUGCAGAGAAAUUCCCCAGGCCUUUGGUGCUGAGCUGACUCUGCUUGGCGUGCUCAGCUGCUCUCAGGCUCUCAGCCUUUCAGCAUGCAGACAGCUCCUGCUGGACUACUUAGCAGGAUGUAUGUAAGUCAAUCUAAUCUUACCCCCUCCACACCCCGUUUGUAAUAUACGCUCACCCCGUGGUCCUAUUCUGUUCUAGCGCUAAGCAAUACACAUGAAGAAAACGGAAGUUCCAUGGUUGUGUUCUUCUAGCAAACGCUGAGGGGUGCACAUAAAGGACAGGUUAGAAACCGGUAGUUCUCAAUCUCUGAUCUGUGGGGCCUGAGUGUUCAUUUCCAGCUGACGUUCUUGGACCAUGAACCACAGCUUCUGUUUUGUGGGUGUCAGGUCUUUCUCUUUGCUUCACUACCAAAUAUAUGGUUCCCAAACAAGAGAGACUAGAUGCAGCUGUCUGGGCCAAAGAGACAAAAAUGAAGAGUGUUUUCUGUAUCACUGACCAGUCCCUGCUUGUGCUGGCCUUGCACACUUUGAGUCGACACGGCUGCUCUUGGUCUACUCUGCCACGCCUCUUGUGGGGCAACUAGAAACUAAGCCUGGCCACAAGGGGACUCGGCUUGCUCGUAUUUGCAAACCUGGUUUGGCACGCCUUGCAUCCUGGGCUCUCUGCUUAGACAGCAUAGGCUCGGGUGUUACUUUAUGUCAUAGUUACCUUUGACUGUCAGCGUGGCAAAACUGGGAAGACAGGAUCUCAAUGCAGUGGUGUUGACGAAUUUAAUUGAUAACUUGUCCAAGACCAAUCUAGUUGACUAGUGUCCUCCCUCAUGGACCAUGUUUUGCUAUUGGUAUCACCCGUAUUCGGGCAAUGUAUUGUUUGUAUAAACAGGCAUCUUCGGGUCAAUUCACGGGUCAGAUACUCUUCAUGACUUCUUCACCAUUGCGCAGUGAUGAUGAAUGAUGACGAUGGAAACUGAAUUAGUCUCAGGAGAGGGCCUUUGAAACUGAGCCUGAGGAUAUAAUCUGAAGUAGCCUAGGAUAGACCAUGCAGCCAAGGAUGCCUCCUCUUUCCACCUCCCAAGUGCUGGGUUUACACGUGUGAACCACCACCACCAUGAUGUGCCUCAUAUAGUACCUCCAGGCGCGUGAUUUUUCAGAUGUGCAGCGUAGGGUUGGAAGACCCUGAGGUGAAAAGGGAGACUCAAGAACAGAAGAUGGGGCAGUCAGGGCUGAGUAGAUGCUGUGGGGGGCCAGCGCAGUGUGGAGUCCUCAAAAAAAAAACAAAAAAAAAAAAAAAAAACCAGGAGCAGGAGGGUUCAAGGAAACAGUCGAGUAGAGAGGGGUCCUUGAGUAUCCACCACCUGCCCUGCAUUUAAUCUCUGCUCACAUGAAGCCAGGAGGGUUGCGUCCCUCCGCAGCCCCAGCAGCUGGGAGACAGGCAGGGACUCUGACAGGAUGCUGCCUCAAGAUGAUGGCCAAAGAGAAGAAUUUGCCCAGUAAAUGUAAAGUCUCUGAAAAGAAAUUGAAAAUUAGAUUUUACUGUUCUCCUGAUUUCUCCUAAAUCUGGCUUUUGCUUCACACUGCCCCCCACAGAAACCUACCUCCCACCGACUUUUGUGAAGUGUCAUGUAUUCUUUUUACUAAACUAGAAUUGAGAUUCAAAGAAGCCUUUGAUUUCAAAAUCGAGAAGUUUCAGUUUGGUUUCAUAUUUAGGUUCAGUGGGUUAUAGGAACUCAGAACAAAAUGAAAGCCCUAGAGAGCUCAAGCCUCCAUGUUUAGGACAGACAGGUGUGUCAGCCCUCUUUCCUCUAAAUGAGAGUUACAUAAUCUGACUUACCUGCACAUGGGUGACAUCAACGUGGUGCCCCGACUAUGAUAUAAACAAAAACGGAGGGGAGAAUUUGUCAUCUUAUGUGAGGACUUGGGAGAGUCAGUCCUAAAUUGACGCUGGCGUUGGUAUUUGCAACUCUAGACUGCACAAGAACAAGAUAAGCAAACCAUGCACAGGGAGCCGGUGCCUCAACAGCCAAAAUGGUAUUGCAGAAGGCAACACGUUCCCAUCUGUCCCCCCUGGAACAAAAGUUCACCCCAGCACAGUGCAGUCUUCCUCGACUCCACACAGCAGCACUGGAAGGGCCAGUGUCCGUUAAGCCAGUGUGUGUGUUAAGCGAGGUGGAUUAUGCCCAGUCAGCGAUGCCCACAUGGCGUCGCUGGGAAGAUGGCUAGGCAUCCCUAAGCAAUGUCCUCGGGAACCUAUAAUGGCAUGGCUACCAUGAAUGGAGUGCAACAGGCCGAUUAUCUGAAGCCCUAAAGCGUCUGUUCAGAGCAACCACAGACAAAGGGAGAUGCGUGAGAACACCAACCAAGAUGUGGUUUGAAACACCAAUCCUUAAGCACCCAGAAAGCCCAGCCCAUGGAAUUAAACAUGUAGAGUUGACAAGGAGCUAAAGUCAUACAUGAUCAGGCAUCAAAGAGAAACAGAAUGUGAGAGGAGAGCUCAGACCUGCAGGCACAUACAACAUUUUCACUUAUUAGCAGCUGACGUUUCAUAAUGGGACUUUUGAGAAAAGGUCUCAUGUAUCCCAGGCUAGCCUCACAGUUGCUUUGUAAUCAAGGAUAACUCCGAAGUUUUUAAAUGUUCUAAUUUGGGGAAGCUUCACAUGCCACUAACCUGAAUAGGAAGGGAGAGCCACUCUAAAUUACAUACAUCGAGUAUAUAUAAACUUACAGAUGGAAUGCAACUUUGGAAGUUCAGAAUCAGACACUCAGGGUGUUUUGCCCUGUCAGAUCCUGAAACAGCUCCACACCGUUCUUUGCACACACCCCAACCACUCCAGUGAAACCCUUGCUCUGAGGCAGCCCUCUUCCCUUUCCGAAUGGUUCUGACUGCGAAGUGGGCUGAUCGCUCAGGUGGGAAAACACUUGCCUUGCAAAUGUUUAGACCUGAGGUGGAUCCUUUGAAUAUAAUGUAAAAGUCAGGUGCUGUGGAUUCCAGAACUAGAGAGCCAGACCGUGGGGCUAGGCUCUCUGGCCAAUCAGCCUUGCCUAAUCAGAGUCCUAGGUCCUAUCAAGAACUUGUCUCAAAAAAGAAGGUGGGUGGCUCUUGCAGAAUGACAGCUAAACUUGCCCUCUUGCCUUUGUGCAUGCACGCACAGGCACAUAUGUGAACACACACACACACACACACACACAGAGAGAGAGAGAGAGAGAGAGAGAGAGAGAGAGAGAGAGAGACUAUACUUCAGAAUCUGACAGGUGGCCAAAUAAGACAGGCGACCACAGAUCAAAACCAAACUGCCUGCUGGCUGUGCUUGGGGAAGUUACUUCUCUGGGCCUCUAUUUUCUCCCUUAUAAAUGAUAAAUACAGUUGCAUCUGAGCUCUGGCUUUUGAGACGUCAGAACAGAGAGUAAGUGCUGGGGACCGUGGGACCCCGAUCCUGUACAUUUCUUAUAUUAGUCUCUCCUCAUCUGGUUGGCAUUGUUGCCAGUGCCCUUUUGAAAACUGCACUCUCAGUAUGAACUUGUAUUUCCUGUGUUUCACCCUUACAUUGCAGAAUUCAGGCAGCGACUCAGAACCAACACUGGCUCUGCUUAUUCUAAUGCCUAAAAGUUUAUCUGCAUGGAGAACCUUCGAUCCCAGAUGACAGCAUGGGAAUUAGUUUCUUUUCCUUUGUUUUUGUUUUGUUUUGUUUUGUUUUUUUCAUAAAGCUCAAUUUAUAUUGAGAACUCCUUCUCUACUGAGUAGCAAAGAAUUCAUCGGGAUGAUUUCAGUGUAAGCUUUUCCCCAGAGUUGCUUCAGAAGUCUGGAGCCAUAUUCCACAAAACUCAGAAUAGCAUGUUGUUUUCUGUGAGUAUUCUGCAGUGUUGUGGCUUGAUCAUGCUUGGCCCAUGGGAAGUGGCACUACUAGGAGGUGUGGCCUUAUUGGCAGAGAUGUAGCCUUGUAAGAGGAAUUGUGUCACUGUGAAGGCAAGACUUUGAAAUCGCAUACAUACGCUCUAGUCUGGCCAACAUGAUUCAGACCUUCCUCCUGGCCACCUGCAGAAGACAGUCUCCUCUUGGCUGCCUUCCGAUCAAGAUGUAGAACCCUCGGCUCCUCCAGCACCAUGUCUGCCUGCACAUUACCACGCUUCCCAUCGAGAUGACAAUGGACGGAACCUCUGAUCCUCUAAGCCAGUCCCAGUUAAAUGCUUUCCUUUAUAAGAGUUACCUUGGUCAUGAUGUCCCUCCACGCAAUGGAAGCCUCACUGAGACAUACACGUUGCUCGUCCAGAUGCCCUGCUCCCAUCCAGUCUUCAUUCACAGAUUACUGACAGGCUAGUGCUGCUUUCUUCCAUUCCACCAUGUCAUUCCCAUCAAGGACCAUACAGUGCCCUCUUUACUUAAACCUGAAACUGCCUACUGCUUGCUCUGAGACAUUGAAACCUGGGCUGUGCUUUGGGGCCCUAAGACCACCUGAUGCUGGAAAGUGGUGCAAGAACACUAGAGCAUCCUUGUGGUCAUAUCGCUGAUACACUAGGCUUCCCCAGCAGGCUCCAGGGAGCAGACAGGGGCUCCUGAGGCACCGUAAAGGACAAGUGAAUAGUCUUUGCUUUUCUAUCUCCAAUCUCAUCCAACAUGGGCUUUCUUGGCCGAUGCCCUCUACCCCUGGGAAGUCACAGGUAUGUAUCACCAGUCCCCUCUUAAUCCUCAGUGCUUCAGGCCACAGAAUGCAUUUGUCUGUCCUGAGGAUGAGGGGGACGGAAAGUCUUCAAACUAUGCCUAGGCCCACCUGAAGACUUGACCACGUUUUGUUGUUGUUGUUUGUUUUUUGAGACAGGGUUUCUCUGCGUAGCCCUGGCUGUACUGGACUCACUUUGUUCACCAGGCUGACCUCAAACCCACAGAGAUCCUCCUGCCUCUGUCUCCCGAGUACUGGGAUUAAAGCCCUGCACCACCACCCCGGCUCUUGACACUGCUUCUUCCUAUGAUGCCCUUUCUUCCUCGGGGAGAUCAUUCCCAGCACUUCGAGCUGGUUAUUGAAAGAACAAAUGGAGAAGCAGAGGGGUGGCUCAGAGGCCAAACCGCUUGCUUCUGACUCUGUCAACCGCAGUUCAACCCCCAGGAGCCACAGGGGUGGACAGAUAGAACUCGACCCUGCCAGCUGUCCUCUGCGGUUCAUACGUGACUCUAGGUGUGUGCACCCCACCCCAGGCUAAAUAAAUGGGAUUUAAAGCUAAAGGAGAAAAUUGUAACAAGAAAUAAAAGGAAAAGGUGUCAGAA